ensembl:ncRNA F46G11.20 ncRNA
UUUUCUCCAUCGUCUCCUUCUCACAUCUUUUGCUCAUUCACUUUGCGGGAAAAAAGAAAAGCGAGGAUUCACUGGCUUCUUUAGAGCCCUUUCUAAGGACUAGUUCUUUCUUCAAUCACUCUCACACCACUCUAAAUCC